UACGUAGGGGGCAAGCGUUGUCCGGAAUCAUUGGGCGUAAAGAGCGUGUAGGCGGCCCGGUAAGUCCGCUGUGAAAGUCCAGGGCUCAACCCUGGGAUGCCGGUGGAUACUGUCGGGCUCGAGUCCGGAAGAGGAGUGUGGAAUUCCUGGUGUAGCGGUGAAAUGCGCAGAUAUCAGGAGGAACACCGGUGGCGAAGGCGGGUCUCUGGGCCGUAACUGACGCUGAGGAGCGAAAGCAUGGGGAGCGAACAGG
rnacentral:rRNA from 1 species